UACGGAGGGUGCAAGCGUUAUCCGGAUUCACUGGGUUUAAAGGGUGCGUAGGUGGCUUUGUAAGUCAGUGGUGAAAUCUCGGAGCUUAACUCCGAAACUGCCAUUGAUACUGCUUAGCUUGAAUCAGGUAGAGGUGGAUGGAAUAUUACAUGUAGCGGUGAAAUGCUUAGAUAUGUAAUAGAACACCGAUUGCGAAGGCAGUUCACUAUGCCUGCAUUGACACUGAGGCACGAAAGCGUGGGGAUCAAACAGG
rnacentral:rRNA from 1 species